rnacentral:lncRNA from 1 species
AAAUCACAUCAAGGAUGGACUUGUCACCAAUAGUCCUCAACAUAGUCCAAUCGUGCCAGGGGCGUAGAAUGGGCCUCACUGGUCUUUCUCUUACCAUAGCAUAACAUAACAUAACAUUCCAAGGUGCCAGGGGCGUAGAAUGGGCCUCACUGGUCUUUCUCUUGCCAUAGUGCCAGGGGCGUAGAAUGGGCCUCACUGGUCUUCCGUACCGUAUCAUCAUCAUACCAUAGUAUACGAGGACUAAAGGGUCAUCCAACAUCCAUCCACAUCAACAUCAAUUUAUGCAAUGCAACAUAUUCGUGAAUUCUAAUGCAAACAACCUAGUAUAUCUCAUGGCAUACAUGAUGCAUGUAUCAUGCUCAAAGUUCAUUUACUUUAAAACAUAAAAGUUUAUUCCACUCACCUCUGGUUGAAGCUCUAAUGACUCUGAAGCAGCUAUCUCACUGCUGAGGUCCUCGGUUCCUCGGGUCUGAACCUACACAGGUGGACUCAAAUGAGGGACCAAACAUCCAUGAACAUGACUCUAAAAUAAUCCCCAAAAACUCCCUAAAACACCUUAAAACAAUCAUAGAAAUCAUGCAAAGGAGGGCUGAACAGGGCACUUUCGGCGGCAGGUUCGGCGGCUGAAAGGCCCUCCAGAGCCGAAAGUCAUGCACCUUCGGCGGCACUUUCGGCGGCCGAAGGUUCCCUCUAGAGACGAAACUCAUGCAUGUUCAGCAGCACCUUCGGCGGCCGAAACUCCCUUCCAGAGCCGAAAGUCCUCUUUCGGGGGUAGGGUUCGGCAGCCGAUACAUGCUACCACAGGCAGGUUCGGCGGCCGAAAGAGCCUUCGGCUGCCGAACCUGAGUUCUUCCCAAGGGCAGAAACUCAGCUCCAACAUGCACAAAAGCCUCCCAACUCAUUCAAACAUGCAUUUAUCUAUUCUACAACAUGCAUAUUCAAGCACACAAGCUCCUAGGGGCUUCAAACUAUCUUAAACCCCAACUACAACACAUCAAACAUACAUAUUCAACAUACAUUGCUCAAACUCAACACAAAAACUCAUAAACUCAAAAUAACCUAAACAUGCAUUUCUACCCCAUAAAUCCUUAUAAAACUUACUUAAAACAUGAAAUGAACUAUGGAUCUACUCUUACGUCUUGAAGGACGAGAGGAGAGGCGAUCCAACUCGGAGAUGGGGAGAAAUCCGCUCUUUAGUCUCCAAGUUUCCAAAACUUGCUCUUUUUGUUCAAAUAUCUUCAAAUCAACAUAAAGCUUGUUAAAACAUGAAAGAUCGGAGGAAAAUCGUCAAAAACGAACCAUAGGAGAGCAGGAACUCACCUGGCCAAAAAUGGGGAGAAAACUCGCCCGUUUCGGCCAUGGGGUCCUUUUAUAGGGGCUGCCAGACCACCUUUCGGCAGCCUAAGGUGCCUCCAAAUCUCAUGCAAGUUCGGCGACUGAACAUGAGGUUCGGCGGCCGAACCUUUGAAACUUUCGGAAGCCUAACUUGCCCCCCUAAACCAUCCAAUAUUCGGCGGCCGAACCUGGAAAUGCCUCCUUGGUAUUUUCCUUUCAAAACUCAUUUUCCUUCUUACUUAAAAUCAUCAAAUACAUUAAAACAUUUUAUAAAAACAUGAUUUUACCCUUCUAGAGGUUUUCGACAUCCGAGAUUCCACCGGACUGUAGGAAUUCCGAUACCGGAGUCUAGCCGGGUAUUACAUUCUUCCCCCCUUAAGAACAUUCAUCCCCGAAUGUUCACCAAACAAACAUAGCAUGGCAUAAAAAUAUAAACACACAACAAAGCACAUGAAACUCACCUUAGAAAAGAUGAGGAUAUUGCUGGAGCAUGGACUCCCGUGUCUCCCAGGUACACUCUUCGAUGUUGUGGUGAUUCCAAAGGACUUUCACCAUCGAGAUCUCCUUGUUUCUCAACUUUCUGAUCUGAGUGUCAAGAAUCCGUACUGGCUGUUCAACAUAGGUGAGAUCUUCUUGGAUCUCCAUAUUAAGCUCACUAAGAACCUUGCUCGGAUCUGAUACGAACUUCCUUAACAUAGAAACAUGGAAAACCGGAUGGAUUCUCUCCAUUGAAGCAGGUAAAUCCAGUUUAUACGAUACAUUCCCGAUCUUUUGCAAGAUUUCAAAGGGUCCGAUGUAUCGUGGAGCUAGCUUACCUUUCCUUCCGAAUCGAAUCACCCCUUUCAUUGGAGACACCUUGAGCAAUACCAAAUCCCCCUCCUGAAACUCUACUUGCCUUCUGCGGACAUCUGCAUAACUCUUUUGCCUGCUUGCAGCAGUCUUGAUCCUUUCUCUGAUUAUGGGCACCACUCUGCUGGUGAUCUCUAUUAGCUCAGGCCCUGCUAAGGCCUUUUCCCCAACUACUUCCUAGCAAACAGGUGACCUGCACUUCCUUCCAUACAAAGCUUCAUAUGGAGCCAUCCCUAUGCUAGCAUGAUGGUUGUUAUUGUAGGCAAACUCCACCAAAUGUAGAUGCUACCUCCAAGAACCACCAAAAUCCAGCACACACAUUCUGAGCAUAUCCUCAAUUGUCUGGAUGGUCCUCUCUGAUUGUCCGUCCGUCUGUGGAUGGAAAGCAGUGCUAAAAUCCAACCUGGUACCCAUAGCAUUCUGUAGACUCCGCCAAAACCUGGAGGUGAAUUGGGGUCCUCUAUCAGAUACUAUUGAAACAGGAACCCCAUGCAGCUUGACAAUCUCAUCUACAUACACCUGCGCUAACUUGUCCAUAGAAUAGCCACUCCUGACAGGGAUGAAGUGAGCAGAUUUGGUCAGUCUGUCCACAAUCACCCAUAUGGAGUCCAAUCUGUUGGACGCCGCCGGUAGCCCCACCACGAAGUCCAUAGCUAUAUUCUCCCAUUUCCACUCUGGAAUAGGUAGUGGGUUAAGCAUUCCAGCCGGCUUCUGAUGUUUUAGCUUCACCCUCUGACAUAUUUCGCAGGCUGACACAAACUGUGCCACUUCUCUCUUCAUAGCUGGCCACCAAUACACUUUCUUCAGAUCUUGAUACAUUUUGGUGGCCCCAGGGUGAACACUGUAUCUGGCAUUAUGAGCUUCCCUCAUAAUGUCUCCCUUCAGUCCCACGUCAUCUGGUACACACAAUCUAUUCCCAUAGCGGAGGAUCCCCUUACUAUCAAACCUGAACUCUUCGUUCUUGCCUGACUGAACAGUCCUGGCAAUCUUCACUAACUCUGGGUCCUCAUGCUGUUUUUGAGCCACCUGCUCCAGAAACAUGGGUGCCACUCUCAUCUGGGCUAUCAAAGCAACUGUACCAGACAACUCCAAUUGUAGACCUUCAUUGAUGAGCUCAAAGAACUCCCUCACUACUGGCCUCCUCUCUGCUGAAAUAUGGGACAAACUGCCAAGUGAUUUCCAGCUUAAGGCGUCUGCCACAACAUUCGCCUUACCCGGAUGGUACUGGAUCUUGCAAUCAUAGUCACUGAGCAGUUCUACCCAUCUUCUCUGCCUCAAAUUCAGCUCUCUCUGACCCAGGAUGUACUGCAGGCUCUUAUAAUUUGUGAAGAUCUCACAUUUUACCCCGUAAAGGUAAUGCCUCCACAUCUUGAGUGCAAAGAUUACUGCUGCCAUCUCAAGGUCAUGUGUAGGGUAAUUCAACUCGUGCUUCUUCAGCUACCUAGAAGCAUAAGCAAUCACCCUUUCAUUCUGCAUUAGCACACAACCCAGUCCCAUACGGGACGCAUCACAAUACACUGAGAAGUCUUCAUUACUAGCUAGCAGAGCUAACACUGGUGCUGAAGUCAACCUCUUCUUGAGCUCCUCAAAGCUUUCUUCACACUAAUCGGUCCACACAAACCUCUGGUUCUUCUUAGUCAGUAUGGUCAUAGGAGCUGCAAUCUUAGAGAAGUCUUGGACGAACCUCCUGUAGUAACCUGCCAAACCCAAGAAGCUCUUGAUCUUUGUCACUGUAGUGGGUCUAGGCCAGUUUGCUACAGCUUCCACUUUCUUGGGGUCUACCUCGAUUCCAUUUUCUGAUACAACGUGCCCCAAGAAUGAAAUGCUCCUCAGCCAGAACUCACACUUGGAGAACUUGGCAUACAAGCCAUGUUCUCUCAAGGUCUGCAAAACCAACCUCAAAUGAUGGGCAUGCUCCUCUGCAUUCCUGGAAUACACUAAGAUAUCAUCUAUUAAGACAAUAACAAAGUGAUCCAGGUAUUGGCUGAAUACUCUGUUCAUGAGAUCCAUGAAUGCUGCAGGGGCAUUGGUUAACCCGAACGGCAUCACAAGGAACUCAUAGUGCCCAUAUCUAGUCCUGAAUGCUGUCUUCGGUACAUCCUCUUCUCUUAUCCUCAGCUGAUGAUACCCCGAUCUCAGAUCUAUUUUGGAGAAACAACCUGCUCCUGCUAGCUGGUCGAAUAGAUCGUCGAUCAUUGGCAACGGGUACUUAUUCUUGGUAGUGACCUUGUUCAACUGCCUGUAGUCGAUACAAAGUCUGAGAGAUCCAUCCUUCUUUUUCACAAAUAGCACUGGAGCACCCCAAGGUGAGGUACUCGGUCGGAUGAAGCCCCUAUCUACCAACUCUUGCAACUGCUCCUUAAGCUCUUUCAAUUCUGCUGGUGCCAUCCUGUAGGGAGGAAUAGAGAUCAGUCUGAUUCCAGGCAUCAAUUCAAUUUCGAACUCUAUUUCCCUAGCAGGUGGUAAACCUGUCAGCUCGUCUGGGAAAAUGUCUAAGAACUCACUGACCACUGGCACUGAGGCGGGCUCUCUGACAUGACUAUCCAGCUCUCUCACAUGAGCUAGAAAACCCUGACAACCCCUCCUGAGCAGCCUACGAGCCUGUAGGGCUGAUAUCAAACCUCUAGGUGUACUCCCCCUGUCUCCUCUGAAGAUAACCUCUGACCCAUCCUGACAUCUGAACUUGACUACCUUGUCUCUGUAAUCCAAGGUAGCACCAUGGGUAGAUAGCUAAUCCAUCCCUAGAAUGACGUCAAAAUCUGUCAAAUCUAGAACCACAAGGUCGGCAGAAAGGCAUCUUCCCUCCACAAAGACUGGACUACACUAGCAGACUGACUCUACCACUGACGGGUCACACUUGGGUCCACUGACCCAUAGGGGACACUCUAACCCAGAGACCAUCAAACCCAAUCUCUCGAUGGCCCUCGGAGUAAUGAAAGAAUGAUAUGCACUAGGGUCCAUUAAGGCAUAAACAUUUGAGCAACCAAUGAUGAGAUUACCUGCCACCACGGUGUUCGAUGCAUUUGCCUCCUGCUGAGUCAUUGUGAAGAUCUGUGCUGGGGCUAAUGGACCUUCACCUCUGAAACCCGCUGAAGAAGAGGCUGCCCCUCUCCCUCUGCCUCUGCCACUAGCCUGAGUCGCGGCUGGAGCUACUGGUUGAGCCACAUUACCAGAGACUGUCUGUUGAGACUGCGCCAUAAAAGCUGCUCUAGGACACUCCCGAGCCAUGUGUCCCUCCUGCCCACAUCUGAAGUAGGCUGUCGUCCCAACCAGACAUACUCCCUUGUGCGGCUUCCCACACUUCCUACAUAUAGCAUUAUUUGCACCUGAGCUCGAGCCACUUCCCAAUCCCAGACCUGACUUGAUCUUGCUCCAGAACUUGUUCUUCUUUGGUUUCUUGGUGGUACUGCUCCACCUCUUACUGCCUGAACUCAGAGAAGAAGGGUCUAACCUCCCCCCACCUGGGGUCUUGGAACCAGAAGGCUGUGCCACUGACUGUUUAACUUUUCCCUCGAUGAUUGCACUAGCCUCCAUCCUCCGAGCUAUAUCCACUAUGGCAUGGAAACUCUCCCUCUCUGCUGACUGAAUUAAGGAGGAAUACCUGGAAUGGAGCCUCAUGAUAUACCUCCUUGACUUCUUCUGAUCUGUGUCCAGAUUCUGCCCAGCAAACGGCAACAGCUCCAAGAAUCUGUCUGUAUACUCAUCCACACUCAUCUCAUCCGUCUGCCUCAACUGCUCAAAUUCAAUCAUCUUCAGCUCCCUUGAACUGUCAGGGAAAGCCCAUCCUGCAAACUUAUUUGCAAACUCCUCCCAUGAUAGGCUGUCCAAUCUCGGGUUCACAUAGUUUUUAAACCACUCUCGGGCCUUCUUACAUUUCAGUGUGAACCCAACCAUCUGAAUGGCUCUACUGUCAUCAGCUCCUAUCUCAUCUGUAAUCAUCUUGACCCUCUCAAGGUACACAAAUGGGUCAUCACCGGUUUCAUACUGGGGAGCACCCAGCUUCAUGUAGUCGGUCAUCUUGACCUUGCUCCCCCUAGAUGAGCUAGGUUUAGGCAUUUGAGUUUCUGAGACAGUAGGUGCUACUGGUGGUGGAGGAGGUGCAGCAUCCCCUGGGGUAGGGUUUGCUGUACCUGGGUAGAAGGAUGGGGGUGGGUACAUAGGGUACUGGGGGUAUGGUGGGUAGAAAGGUGGGUAUGGCAUGUGGGAGUGGUAAGGGUUAAAGCUAGGGUAAUCCGAUGUACCUCCCAUCGAAUACCCGUGAUUCUGAGAAAAGGGUGGGUACUGGGGUGGCUGAACAAAUCCCGAGGCCUGAGUGCCUCCUUGGGACUCUCCCAUACCCUCUUCCGACAUACUCACUCCAAGACUGCCAUCCCUCCUCUGGUCCACAUCCAUAUCAUCCCCUACAUCCUCUGACAUUCCUCCUUGAACUGUUCCCCUUACUGAUCUGCUUCUGUUCAUAUCCAAAGACCUUCUAGGGUCUCUCACUGCUCUUUCCCUGCUAGACCUGCUAGACAUUGCCCUUGGCAAUGCAGGGGGACGGGCACUCAUGCCCUCAUCCUCCGGUGGUACUCCAGUCAAUCGUGCAGAUCGACGAGUUCCUCUCAUCCUGUUUACUGAAAAACAGCACACAUCACAUAAACAUUAGCAUCAAAUGGUUCAUGUGCAAACACAUGAACCCGCAUCACAUACAUCACAUACAUAGCAUAUCAUUAAUGCACAUGCAUAUAAUCAUGGCAUUUCACAUCAUCAUUCAAGACAGGACUCUACAUCCUAUCCUAGUGGACAUGAUUUCCCUAUUGUGCUUGACCUUCUAGAACAUCUAUGAGCCCGACACUCUAGGUCCGACCAUAUGAACCUAGGGCUCUGAUACCAAUCUGUAACGACCCAAAAAUUGGACCGCUACCGGCGCUAGGAUCCGGAUCGGCUUAAGGCCGCCGGGACCCGUAGCAAGCCAAACAUUCAUCCUGUAUACCUGUUUAAUCCCAUACAUGAUCAACAAUUACAUAAAAAUUUUAAAACUUUCUCAUUGGUCAUUCAUUCACUUAUUCAUUCAUUCAUUCCUUCACCAAGUUUAACCUGUGCAUGCACAAAACAUAACAUAAAACCCCCUCACUGGAGUCCUCAUCAAAUACUCCAAUGGGGUGACAUAACAUACAUUAAGCUUGGUUUACAAUAAUCAUCAUUAAACAUUUAAGAUCAUGUACUAGAAAGGAUUUAACAACAUACUAUGGUCAAGCACAACUCUAAACUUCCAUAAGCAUCAUUACAUUACAUUUUUAUACCAUACUUUUACAUUAUAUCAUAUUCAUGUCCACAUCUAGCUAUUACAUAACAUAACUCUACUCCUGCUAACCUCCUGGUCUACCCUGUACCUGCAAACCUGGGGGUUAAGGGAGAGGGGUGAGCUAUAGAGCCCAGUGAGCAGAAUAAUAACAUAUUCAAUUUAUAUUUUAUGCUCUCAUGAAAUGCAACACAGCACAGACAAAUCACAUCAAGGAUGGACUUGUCACCAACAGUCCUCAACAUAGUCCAAUCGUGCCAGGGGCAUAGAAUGGGCCUCACUGGUCUUUCUCUUACCAUAGCAUAACAUAACAUAACAUUCCAAGGUGCCAGGGGCGUAGAAUGGGCCUCACUGGUCUUUCUCUUGCCAUAGUGCCAGGGGCGUAGAAUGGGCCUCACUGGUCUUCCGUACCGUAUCAUCAUCAUACCAUA